rnacentral:lncRNA from 1 species
UCAUUUCUCUUGGCCGGCCAAAGGAAGAAAAGGGAAGAAAAGAAGAAGAACAAAACCCUAGGUGAAAAAAUUCAAGGGAAAAGUGUGAAAAUUCAAAGAAUCAAGUGACAAAAGGUAAGAUUUUUCAACUAUAGCUUGUGAUCUACCUUUCCUAUGCAUUCUUUUUCAUUUUUCAUAGUUGAGAAUCAAGUUUCCAUGAGGAUACCCUUGCUGGCCGGACAUGGGGGGAGGAGUUUUGAUGCUUGAUUUGGUUAGAUUUCAAUAUAUUUUAGUGUUUUUAGUUAGUUAGUGAUGUGUAGUAUGAAAAGCCAACAAGAAAAAUUCACUUCCUCCCAUCACCCAUCAUUGGCCGAAUUCUCCAUGUAAAAUAUUGAUGAUAAUUUUGAUUUUAUUUCAAGUGAUUUGGUUAGGAAUUAGUGAUUUAUGGUGUGAGAAUCAAGCUUGAAAAAUUAUAAUUUUGAUGCACCCACCAUGGCCGAAUUUUCCAAGAGCAAAUGUGAGGAUGAUUUUGCCAUAUUUCAAGUUAUUUAAUUUGUGUUUGAUGAUUUGGAGUAUUGGGAGAAAAAUGGAAUUAUUUGGAGUUGAAUUGGACGUAUUGGCCAAUUAAUCGAGUAAUAGAUCGAAUUAGGCCAAUACCUUUUUAUUUAGGUACACAAUUGAAUUUAUGUAGAACACUGUGUUUAAAUGAUAAUCCGAACAAUUUACAUCCCAUUUCAUGCAUUAGUAUAAAGCCUGAAUUGGUUUUAUAACAAUUUAGCACAAAUGUAGUAAAUGGCUUAUUGUGCAUUAUGUCUAGGUGGUGAGCAUUCUCGUAAAAGUAAAGAGAUAGUACCCGAGGAUCAAGAAUCGAAGUACUCGAAAUUCGACUCCUGAAAUAGUGAGUAACCUUACUAUCAUCUUAAUUAUCUAAAGUGGUUUUUAUCCGAUUUUGUGAUUUUAUGAAAAAUGAGUUAAAUGGUAAAUCUUUAUGUUUUAAAAGAAAAAUGUGAUUAAAUGAAAUGAUGGUUUGAAAAUAGAGUAAUUGGAGACCGUUUUCAUGUGUUGUAAAUUCAUGGUUUGAAUCGAAUGGCUUAUGACAAUAUUUGCAUGAAUGGCUAAAUUUGUAUUUGUGUUGAAAUAUAUGAACUGUGUAUUUAGACUUGAGAGGCUGGAUUGUGAUAUAAUUGCCAUCUUAUGCGAUUGAGAUUUUAUUGAAUUGGUGGGUUUAGCUUGCUAUAGUGGGUGGGUUCCGUGGACCAGCCUAUUAGAGGGGCACGGUAACCUUGUUAUAUUCUUACCUCGGUCGGAGAGGUGUGUACGGUAACUCCUGAGGUACAACUUUAGAGUUCACUUCAUGCCAAACCACCACGUGAGGGUGAACUCAGCCAACGCCAAGGAACGACUAUGUUUUCAAAAUAAAAAUAUGAUUUAUGCGUACAUGACUUUUUAACAGCCUUGACGAACUCGGUUGGGAUAACCCCAAGCCAAGGUAUCCCUAAUAACUGAGUAUGAGAAUGAUUUUGGCAUGAGCCAAAGUUUUAAGAAAUUCAUAAGUCAUGUUGAUUACUCGAUUUAUAUGAAUUGAUUUUAUUUGGUUGAAAUGAGUUGAAAAGUGAUGAAUUACAAUAUGCUAAUCUAUUUUAUCUGUCUCCAUUUACUCAGCUUUAGAUAUUUUAGAUGGUAUUUGUGUACUCACUUGGAUUUUAUAAUCUCACCACCCUCAUUUUCACCCAUUUCAGGCUCAAGAUAGUCGGUAGAUAGCUCAUUUCAUUGAGGGCUACAGUUGGAAUUGCAUCCUCAAAAACUGUAGGUUUACCACUUUUAAUACUUUUGGUCGUUUGUGGGCCCACGUGUCACUGUAAAUUAAAUCUUAUGCUUUGGUUAUCUGUAUUACAAUAUGUAUGAAUUUAGUUAGAUUUUAUGCUAUAAAAAUUAUUUACCGGUAACUCUAUAAAUAUUAUUUUAUAAGAAAUUAGAAUAUUUUAUUAAAUAUUUUUAUUAUAUUCAUAGUUAUAGUUUCUCUUUAAAUGAAUGUUUUAGACAUCUAAACUUAUUUAUGAUUAUGAAAUAUGUGUUUUCCACUCGCAUACUACAUUUUUAGCUGGUUUCGAGACUUUCGAGGAAAAAUGACCAAAAUGCCCCUGUGAGUGAAAAAUUAUUUUUCUAUUGUUUUGAUUUGGAAAUAGUUUAUAAUCUCUCAGAAUAUGAUACUUAACAACUGUUGCUCACAGGGGAGGUGCGAAAACUGAUAUUAAAGCCUUGCGGGGUUUCAGUUGACAUUUCGGGUAAUGAGUGUCGAUCGGGACACCGCGACAGUUGUCACAGGCUCGAGGGGAGUACCGGGUCGUGACAGUCGGUAACUAGGUCAAGGUGUCUUCAUAGAUUCGACUCUUGAUAGGUGUCUCGACAUUCAGUAGCUGUACUUUCGUCCGAGUUUCUCUGCUAAAAAUCGAGUCUCCUUUUUUAGAUGUAUAGACAAACCUGAUGUAAAUUAUUAAGAUACAUGUUGCAGACAAUAUAUGUAUAUUUUGAUGAGUAAUGCCACUACGAGUUGGCAAUGAUUAGCAUUAUUUGAUUCGAAAUUAUGAAAUGUGACUUUAGUAAAUUUGAUGGAAUGAUGAACAGGUCAUAUUAAUAGGUUUGCUUGGGCUUAGUGGACUACGUCCAUUGUGCCCAUGCACUUGUCAUGGCCCGGAAUUUAGGUCGUGACAAUAUGUCUACCCGAAUUGCAAAUCAGAUCACCUAAUUGAUGUAAACAUACACUAUUUAAAUCUUAGUUCAAUCUAAAAUCUCUCUGUCUAGUCUCAAUUAGAUUCACAAAUCAAUUAAUUGUUGGCCAAGCAAUCAAAAGCAUUAAGAACAUAUUUAAAUAAGCAAAACUACACCCAUUCAUACUAAAUAAAAGAGAAACUAAUAUUAAAACUACAUGUUGAAAUCCACCACAAUCUUAGAAAGAUAAUUUAGCUCAUAAUAUCUAAUAAAAGCAAUAUCCAAAGAAAUUUAGCCUUGAGUCCAAGUCAAAGAAAAUAAGAAAAACACAAAACUAUAGAAAGAAACUAAUUAUUGAAGCUUUGAAAUCGCAAUUCUCUCUCAAAUUCUCUUGUUUUCUUUCUUUGUUCUUGGCUCCAAAUCUCCAGAAUAGUUGCUUGUUGCCUCCCUCUUUAAACCUCUGAAAAAGAUCCCUUAAAUAGGCUCCAAGUAACCUAAUUUCUAAAAUUUCGUUAAAUUUUUAUUUUUGCAAAAUUGUCCGGCACUGCGACCAUAUCUUUUGGCACUGCGAAGCUGAAUUUUUGGAGUCGUGGCCAUGAUUUCUUGGCACUGCAGCGCUCCAGCCUUGGGAAACGUAUGGUGCACUUCCUUUCACUAGCGCUGCAGCCUUGUUUUCCAGCGUUGCGGCCUUCCUCCACUUAUUGCCUCUGUAAAACUGCAACAAUCGAGCAUCUUCCAAUGUGAUUUUCACAUUGAUAUGAUCCGAACUGGGCAAAGUGGUAAACAUAAAUUUUUUAGCCCUAUCUCGUAACCUUGCAAUGGAUUAAGAAUUAUGUCAAUUGGACUGAUGGAGUGAAAGAUAUGUUCCAAAUAACGCAUCAUGUUCAGUCCAUGCAUACUACUACAGUACCCUAACUUAGACAAAUAUUUUGACCAUGAUCCAAUCAUAAAUGGGUGAUGUGGUAAACAUAAAAGUUAUAGCCUUUCCUCUUAUAAUUCUAGUGGUCUAUGAAUCAUCUAAUUUGGAGUUUUAUAUAGAGAUAUAUGGUCAAAAUACCAAAAUAUAUACAAAUGAAGCCAUCACCAUACUUGCAUGGAUUUGCAUCAAAUGAUCUUUUUUCAUCAAAUUUCCUAUAAAAGCAAUAAAAGAAACCAGCAAUAACUAAUCUUAAAAUAAUUUAAAACAAAAUAACAUAAAAUUUAACUAAAUAACUUAAAUUAACUACUCAACAUAGAAUCAAAUUAAAACUAGAAACACACAUAAAAUGUUAUGAUCUGAACCUACAAUCUCAAAAUUCUAGCUACUUAAGCCCCCAAAAUGUGUCAAAAUAACUCUAUAUAAUAGAGUUAUCAAAUCCUACAGUCGAAAUCUUUGCUUCUUCACCUUUAGGAUUUAUCAAAUCUUCAGUCACCCAAGUGUUUGGCGUCUAACACUAAUCCACACAGUGACCGAAUAAGACCUUUUCAUAGAUAGGAUUUUGCUUGUGCAAACAAGAUUUGUUUCUAAAACAAAAAGACCAAAAAUUCUUACCGAAUCUUAUUUCUGUCAGACAAAGAAAACUACUGUUCUUUUCUUAUUUUUAUGAAAAGACUAAGAAGUGACUGAAGGUUUAGAGUAUUAGUUCGCUAACAUAACAUAUUUAAGUAGCCAAAUUAAGUUGUAACCCUAGAAACAACAUUUGUAUUUUUAUUCAAUUAAGUCUUUGUGAACUGAAUUAACUUUCCCACUUUAUUUGGUAUGCUUCAAUUAAAUCCAACUUAAUUAAUUAUUCUUAUUUAAUCCCAAUCAUGUCACUUAAUGUGUAAGACCCAUUAAGCUUCUAACAUGUUGUUAAUAAAUAUAAAUCCUACUCAAAUAUCAUUUUGAUAAUUGAUUUGUAAUUAUAGAUCAUGAGUAGCAUCUAGCAAUACAUCAUGACCACCCAAAUAUUAGAGAGUCAAUUAAAAAAUUUGACAAAGCCGUUUAGUGAUAAGCCUCUCAGUGCAAUACGGUCCUUUCAUCAAAUAUCUUGAAUAUGUCAUAAAGCAUGGCUUAGUGUCUACUUAUGACAUUCCAUCUUUUUUCUCAUAAUUCAUGAGCAACCUUAUGAAUUUAGGAAAUUAACUUUUCUCAAAUUCAUCAUGUUUUGACCAAAGACCUUAUACAAGUUAAUCAAGAAUUGAGAACAAGUGAAAUACAUCCCUUCAUAUCACUUGGGGUGAUGAAUCCUCUCUUGACCACUCAUUCACCUUCGCAUGCUUCAUGGUAUACCUAAAAACACCCUAUUUAGGCAUCUAGUCACCUCUAGACCCAUAAGGGUGAUAUCAAAGUAUGUCAUUCCCCAUAUAAGAUGACCUAGUGUCUCAAGUCCAAGGACUAGUUGCACAACUGUCACAUGAGAACGUAUUCCUUAAACAAUUGAGUGAAAUACCAAAUGGAGUUCUCAUAGUGGGUCAUGUUCAAUGAACUUAUUUUUUAACAAGCACUUACAUGUUAUCCUCAAGUAUCCCAUAUACUUCAAUCUAUGAGAUCGAUUGCUUACUUCACAAGUAAUGAGGCUUAACAUGUACCAAUCUUUAACCAUUGCCAAUGCCCUGUCGUGACAAUACAAUGACUAGGAAAUAUUUUAAGAACAGGGCUUUAAUGCAUAGUGAUCUCAUAAUUGUAACAACUUUACAAUUCUCUUACAAGGCCUUUAUGUUCCUUGGGCUUCAUCCAAUUAGUCCUUAAUAACUCUUUAUUAUUGCACUAACAUGAAUGAAAACCUCUGUUACAUAUAGUUAUGCGAUUAAGUAUGCAAUAAAUGACAAUAUAUAUUCCUUAACCAAUCCAAUUGGCUUAAGGGCAUAUACCAACAAUACAUGGGAAUACUUUCUCGCUCACAAAGAUGAUGCAUUGUCUACUUUUGUUAAACAUUGUAAAGAAUGCAAAAUAAGAAAGGGCUUACCAUUGUUAGUGUUAGAAGUGACCAUGGUGGUGAGUUUGAAAGUGAUAAUUUUAAAAUCUUUUGCAAUGAAAAUGAUUUGACCAUAAUUUUUCAACUCCUAGAAAUCCACAACAAAAUGGAGUUGUGGAAAGAAAAAAUAAGACCUUUAAAGAAAUGGCAAGAACAAUGCUUUGUGAAAACAACUUGCUAAAGUAUUUUUAGGUUGAAGUUGUGAACUAAAUAGCUUACAUUUUGAAUAGAGUUUACAUUAGAGCCAUGAUUUCUAAAACCUCUUAUUAGCUUUACAAAGGAAGAAAACCAAACAUUUCUCACAUAAGAAGUUUUGGAUGCAAAUGCUCUGUUUUAAAUAAUGGAAAACAUACCUUGGGAAAGUUUGAUGUUAGAAGUGAGAAAGCUAUUUUCUUAAGGUAUGCACUAAACUCUAAAACAUAUAGAGUGUUUAACAAAAGAACAUUUAUUAUAGAAGAGUUAAUACACAUUGUUUUUUAUGAGUAUAAUUCUGCACAAACAAAGGUAGUUGUUGAUGAUGAUGAUGCAAAUGAUAUUGAGAAGAAAAUGGAAAAGAUGAGCUUGGACAGCAAAAAAGAUGAUAGAGGAAGCUCAAAGGAUAAAAAUGUAGAAGAACUACCUCUAGAAAACCUCCAAAAAGCUGAAGAACAACACAGUUAUCUUUUUAAAAGUUGGAGAUUUGUAAGAAACCAUCCUCAAGAACAAAUUAUUAGUGAUCUUUCUGAAGGUGUCAAAACUAGAAGAGGUCUAAGAGAAGCUUUUGAAUAUCUUGUAUUCACAUCACAACUGGAACCAAAGAACUUUGAGGAAGCUAAAAUGGAAGAAAGUUAGAUGAUUGCAAUACAAGAGGAACUUGGCCAAUUUGAAAUGAACAAGGUUUGGACCUUAGUUCCAAGGCCAACCAACCAUCCAAUUAUUAGUACAAAAUGGGUAUUUAAAAAUAAGAUGGAUAAGUUGAGAAAUGUGGUAAGGAACAAAGCAAGGUUAGUUGGUCAAGGCUAUAAUCAAGACGAAGAUAUUGACUAUGAUGAAACAUUUGGUCUUGUAGCUAGAUUAGAAGCAAUUAAACUUUUACUUGCCUAUGCUUGCUACAUUAAUUUUAAAUUGUUUCAAAUGGAUGUCAAAAGUGCAUUUCUAAAUGGCUUUAUACAAGAAGUGUAUGUUGAACAACCCUUGAUUUUGAAGAUUUUGAUAAAAUUGAUCAUGUGUAUAAAUUGCAUAGAGCUCUAUAUGGAUUGAAACAAGCUCCUAGAGCUUGGUAUGAAAGACUUUAAAAAUUCUUAAUUGAAAAAUAAUCAUUUAAGGAAAGUGUAGAUAAUACUUUUUUCAAAAAGAAAAAUGAAACUGAUUUGAUUGUAGCUCAAAUAUAUGUUGAUGAUAUAGUAGUUGAUGCCACUAAUGAAAAGUUGUGUGAGAAUUUUGCUAAGGUAAUGUAUAGUGAUUUUGACAUGAGCAUGGCGGGAGAGCUAAAAUUCUUCCUUGGUCUACAAAUCAAGCAAUGUGAGGAUGGAAUAUUCAUCAACCAAGAGAAAUACACUAAAGAUAUGUUGAAGAAAUUUGGAGUGAUGAAUAUGAAAUCAAUCAAAACUCCUAUGAGUCCUUCUACAAAGCUUGACAAAGAUGAUAAAGGAAAAGAUGUGGACCAAAAACUCUAUAGAAGUAUGAUUAGCUCACUUCUUUAUUUAACUGCAAGUAAACCUGAUAUUUUGAUUAGUGUUAACCUAUGUGAAAGAUUCCAAUCAUGUUCAAAGGAAUCACAUUUGACUGCAAUGAAGAGAAUUUUUAGAUAUCUCUUGGAUACACAAGGGUUAGGCCUAUGGUAUCUAAAAGGAUCAUCUUUUAACCUUCUUGGUUAUUCUAAUGUUGAUUUUGCUAGUAGCAAAACAUAUCAAAAAAGCACUAGUGGCACUUGUCAAUUCCUUGGAAACAUGCUUAUAUCUUGGUCUUACAAGAAACAAAAUUCUGUUGCUCUUUCAACUGCUGAGGUUGAAUAUAUCUCACUAGGUGGUUGUUGUGCACAAAUAUUAUGGAUUAGAUGGCAACUAAAUGAUUUUGCAAUGUUUAUGCAUAAAAUUCCUAUCUUUUAUGAUAACAUGAGUGCCAUAAAUAUAUCCAAAAAUAUUGUUCAACACUCUAGUACUAACCAUAUUGAAAUUAGACAUCAUUUCAUUAUGGAUCAUGUGCUUAACGGAGAAGUUAAAGUAGAAUUUAUAGAUACCUUGCAUCAAUUGGCUGAUAUUUUCACAAAACCAUUGAGUGAAGUUCAAUUUUGUACGAUCAGGGGAGAAUUAGGAAUGAUUGAUGCUAAUGAAUUCUAACUAAGCUAAAUUGAACAUGUUUUUAUGAUAUAGAGUAUGAUGGCUAUGCUCAUUUAUUGUUAAUUUAAUAGAAAAUGCUCUAAUUAGUUAAAAAGACCUUAGAAGGAAUAUAAGAUUUGAAUUAAUUAGCUACGGCACUCUUUAGUCAAUUAGAGCAAUUAUGUGCUAAGGUGAUUGACUUAAGUCAGUAAGGUAUUAAUCAAUUAAAAAUUCCCUUAACUAGUUAAAGUAGUUGUGGUCAUUAGAAUGUUCUAAGUUAAUAACACUUUAAUAGGUUAAAGCUUGCUCUAACAUAUUAAAGCACUUUAGAUGAUGUGAGAAUUGACAUGCGAGAAAUUUUAAAAAUUAAAAAAAAAUGACGAGCGAGAAGUACGAGAAACCACCCACUCAAAACAUGGGCUAAUUGGUUACAAAACCACUUUUUAAACUCAUCAGCUUCUCAAAAACCCAUUUUAAAAAAUCUAAACCCCAAACACCCAAAUCUCUCUAAAAUUUAUCUUUCCUUUCUCUAGUUCUAUGUUACAACGAAAAACCCUAAGUCACUAACUUUAGCAAAAUCAAUGGCUAAAACCUUUCUCACCAACAAAGUUAUUGACAAAAGUAAAAACAAAAGACAAAUUAAGAACUCUCCUGCUCCACAACCCAAGAAAAUGAGUAAAAUGGAUCUAAGUUCACUUGCUGAAAUGAAUAAGGAAUACUAGAGGACAAUGGCAACCAAGACAAAAGAAUCUAUAGUAAAAGGAAUCUCCAUUGGGAAAGGUAAUCCAUCAAAUUCUUAAUUUAGAAACAAUACUCAUGCUGAUAUGUUUAAAAAGAUUGAAAAUGCAACCAUUUUUUAUGGAAAUUCCUUGAUUGGCCUAGUUUUGAUGAGGUUCCUUCUAUCAAAUCUAACUUAUCUAGAUACUUUGAGGAACUAAAAUUGAAAGAACUUAGUAUUUUUGGAGAUAGGUCAUUUAGACCAACUUUAAUUGAAGAGUUUUAUUCCAACAAUGCUUUUGAUAAGAAUGAGUUUGUGAAUCUUGAGAAGUUCAUGGAAGAUGGAUUGAGUGCUUUUCAAUGUGGAAAAGAAUUUUUACUCACUGCCUCAAAUCUAGGAGAACUUCUAAAAACUGAAUUUCAAAUAGAAGAAUUUAAAGUUCCAGAGAACUAUGAUCUUAGCCUUAUUUGGGAAAUUGUGAUUGGAAGAAAAAAGAAGUAUCCUUCCAAAAGUUAUGCUAGUGACAUUAAGAAUGCACAAUUGAGAGUUUUUCACUAUUUUAUUGCCUCUAAACUUUCAUGGGAGAACUAGUAGUUUUAGUUAUGUAAGUGCAUAGGAUCUCUAGCUAAUAAAAUCUGCCUUCAAUGAGAUUCCACUAAAUAUGGCAAAAUUUAUGAUUGAGAGGAUUAAAGGAACUUAUUUGGGAGAAAAAACAAACCUACCUUAUGGAAAUAUCAUUUCAUCUCUAGUUAAGAAGAAAGGAAUUUGGAGUACUCAAUUUCAAGUCGAUUGGAUGAAGAGUAAAGUGAUGGGUUUGGCUAUGGAUGGCAUGCUCAAAAUACGCAGCGGAAAGAAAAUUAAAAACUUUAUAACUAAACAACAAAACAUGCCUCCAUCCAUUGAUCACCUUGGUGAUAUUUAACACAUAAAAGCACAAAAUAAAUUAUUGUUUAGAAAGUUACCUUACCAUGUAAUUUCGUAAUCACGAUGGCACUUUCUGAAGCAAUCCUGCGAGCACCACAAGGAGCAAAAACCCUAGCCAAUCAAGUGCUUGGCCUCCAAUGGUAGUACACACGAUUGCACUUGAACCUUCAACAAAGGAAGGAGUUUUUAACUAUACUUUGUGUUAGCAAAGAGGACAACAAUUGCCUUUUUCUUCUUUUUCACAAUCUCAGUCGAUCCUCUCUUGAAAAUUGUUUAAUAAGAAAUUUUCUCUUUCACACAAAGGGAGUGGUGGCAAAGAAAGAAAACGUUUUUCUUUUUCUAACAAAAACUACAUUUUCUUCAAUUGUGAAAAACUCUCAUAAGGAAAAAUAGUUAAAAUGUGACUUAUAUAGUUAGGUUAAAAUAACUUCAAUUUUGCAAUUAAGCCCUCAAUAUUAUAACACAUUAUAAUAUUGGGCCUAUUACUUAAUUAAACUCUUUUAAUUAAGUUCUUGGAAAUUAAAAUCAAAAUUAAUUUCCUUUAUAUUUUGCAAUCAAGGCCUUAUAGUUAUAACUAUUUAUACUUAUGCCAAAAACUUAAUUAAACUCUUUUAAUUAAGUUUAUAGAAGUUAAUUACCUAGCAUGUGAUUUAAGUUUAACUUAAAUCGUCACUCUCCCAAUUUAAUUCAAAUGCAAUCAUUGUGUGUGACCCAUUAGGUUCCCAACAUGUUGGCAAUGGAGUUGAUUAAUGACUUAAUUGAUUUAUAUAAAUUUCAAUCAAUUAGUUUAUAAUCAAUUCCAUAGACCAAGAUUGGCAUCUAGCAAUGCAUCAUGGUCACCCAAUUGUUGGGAGAGUCAAAGGGUUCUUUGAUAACCUUUCAGUGUACAGUCUAUUAGUGUAAUUCAUUCCCUCAUCAUAUAUCCUAGAGAUGAUAAGAGCUUGGUACAGUGUCUACUCAUAUUGACCUCCAUAUUUGUUCUGGCAAUUAUAGCAUUAGCUUUAUAGAGAGUUAUGAAACUUUUUUCAUAAUCUCCAUGUUGCCUUGGCCAAGGACUUCAAUAAGCUAAUUUUAACCAAGAACUGAUAGGAUAUGUCCUUUAAAACACUUGAGGUGAUGAUUCCUAUCUUGACCACUCAUUUGCCUUCACAUGCUUCAUACUAUACCCAAAAGCAUCCUGUUUUGGCAUCCUUGGUUAGGCACCCAUAGGGAUGAAAUCAAAGCAUAGCAUUCCAUAAAUAAGACAACCUGGUGUCUCAAGUCUAGGGAGUAUUUACACAACUGACACAUGAGAAGUGUUGCAUAGACACUAUAGUGCAUUACCAAAUGCACUUCUCAUGGCAGGUCAUGUUCAGUGAACUUGCUCUCUUAGGCAAGCACCUAUAUUUCAGUUUCAAGUAUCGCUACACUUCAAUCUAUGAGAUCGAUUGCUUACUUCCAAAGUAAGGAACAUAGAAUAUACCAGUCUUUAAACAUCUUUGAUGUCCAAUCUCAAUGAUACAUUGACCAGAAACAUUUUGAGAUAAUGCUUUGAUGCAUAAGAAUCUCAUAACUGCAACCCAUUAGAGCUUCCUUGCAAAGCAUAUUAAUCUCAUGGACUUCAUCCAAUUAGACUUAUAACUCAUUAUAAUUAAUGUCUUAUUGAUGAAGGAAAAGCUCUAAUCAUUCAACAUGAAUGAUACUGUUUCAUGAUCAAAAUCAAGCCUCAACCAAUCCCAAUUGGUUGCAGGGCUCAUCCCAAAAUAAAGUUAAAGGAAUUUUUUUAGGUAGCCUUUUGAAAAUGGGAUACAAGUUUGAAAGAAGGGAAUGUAUCAAAUCUAUCAAAAGCACUCCAAUUCCUCUUGACACUAAAACUCCUUCCACUCCUUACUCUAGAGUAAGCCAAGCUUCUGUUCAAAGUGAAAUGAGGUUCAAUUUAUUAAUGUGAAUUAAUGGGAAGUUGACUGAACAAAUUGAGAAGAUUAUUAAAAUUGAAGAAAGGUUGCAACAACUUGAGAACUUCAUUCUUAAAGAAAAGGAAACAAGGUCCCCUGUAUUGGAGAAAAGUGAAACAGAACAGCUUGAAAUUCAUGCUUAUGACCAUUAAACUACUAAAGAAAAUGCUAAACAUGGGAAGAAGGAUCAGAAUGAUGAAGUGGGUUCUCAACCAUAAAUAGCUGUGGGAAUUGAAAAGGAAAAUGAAAGUGAAGAAGUGGCAAAGAAGAUGAAUCAAGAAAAAUAACAAGAGACAAAAGUUGAAAAAGAAAAUCUAAAUGAAUAAAAGUCAAAAGUUGCAAAAAAUGAGAAAUCUCUUGAAGAAUCAAAAGAAAUAUUGUUGAAAUGCUUAAAGAGGCUAUAGUUGAUGAAGCAAAAGCUAAGAAAAGAAUGGAGCAAGAAGUUGAAUCAGUUCAGAAAGAAAAUGAGGAUAUCACACGUCAAUAAACUUAGAGCAAAGGGAAGGUAACAAUCAUUGGUUCAGUCUCUAAGAAACCUUUUGGGAGAGGCAAAAAGAUAAUGGCAACCAAGACCACCACUCUUAGAAGAAGGAAAUCUACAAGAUUGGCAUUGAAUACUAUUAAACAACCCUUCAAACCUAAACCUCCUCAAAUCAUUUCCUCAACAUCUACCUCCUUAUCCUUUACAUUCUCUAAUUCCUCCUCCAAUUCCUCCCAUAAACCCUUGAAAAUGCACUUUGGCACUGAUGAGUCCUCGUCAUCCUCAUUUGAUUAAAUUUAAGCUUAAGUAGGAUCAUCUUUUUGGAUGUUGACAAAAAAAGGGGGAGAAUUAGGAAGAAAAGAAUGGUUAGAAAGAUAUACAUAGGGAGGAAUGUGCCUAUUGGGUGUAUGUUUCUAUGACUAUGGGUUAUGUUUUAAUGGUUUUAUGCUUUUAUGCUACUAACUAUUUCGUGGAUAAGAAUUAUGAACUAUCAUUGUUUGUGGUAUGCUUAUGGUUACUAAUUUUAUGAUUAUAUUGGUUGAUAGACUAUUGUGUGUUGUUGAUGACUAUAUAUUAUUAAUAAUUGUGGGAGAUUUAGGCACAUACAUUGUAACACCCUCAAUUUUUGGCAUAAACUAAGUUAACUAAGAAUGAUUUAUGAGAUAUAUCGUUCCUUAAGGACUAAAAUGACAUGUUGUAUAAGCCAAGUCUAUGAAACUGUGUAUGUUGGCACUUAGGCAAAUUUUUAUGGAAAUAUGUGAUAAAUCCUAUAGUUUAAGGCUUUGAUUUGAAUUUGAUGUUACAUUUGAGAAAUAUGUGCACAAACAUGAGAUAUGAUGGUUAUUUGGAUCUUGACUUAAGCAUGAAUGAUUUUGGGGUGUUCAGUUUGGAUUUUUUAAAGUCUGGAAGGGUGAAAAUUUGCCUACAAGAGAAAAUAUAUCAAUACAUCCCCUAAAGUAUCAAUUCAUUCUUGGCAAGAUGAACAAUAAAGGCCUCCAAGAGAUUUUCUAUCGAUACAUUCAAGAACAUAUCGAUAGAUUUGGCCAAAGAUGAACAUGUAUCGAUACAUUAUCCAAAUGCAUCGAUACAUUUGAAGCAGAGAGCACCCAUAGGGCACCUGAGGGAAAAAGUAUCGAUACAUUCCCUUCGUGCGUCAAUACAUGUGGUGCAGUAAGCUAUUCUGGCUGAAACCUAUCGAUACAUUUAGCUGAAAUAAGGGCAAAUGUAUUAAUACAUUGCCAAAUGUUUCAAUACAUCGCUGAAAAAAGGCAAAAAUAAAAAUGAUUUCAAGUUAUCUGCCCCAUUUUAAACAAAAUCGUAAAUCUUCCUUUCUCUCGACCCUUCGAAAACUUUAAGCCACAAACGAAUUUCUAGAGUGAUUUGGAGCGAAUUCGAGCUUGGGGAAACAUUGUUGAGGUAAGAUUAAAAGUUUUUACCGAUUAUUUUUUAAUUUAAUCGAUUAUAUUCAAAGAAAUCAAAUUUCUCCAACUUAGGUGAAUCUCUUCCUAUUUGGCUGGAAUUUGAAGCUAAGAUUCAUGCAAUCCAACCUCUAAGGUAUGGGUUUAGCUCAUUAUUGAAGGAUUUGAGCUAAUGAGUUGGAUUGAUAAGGAUUUAGUUAUUUUUAGAAAAGCUGGCAUUUUUCAAAAACUAAGAUUUAAUUAAUAAUUGGGUAUUUUGAUGUGUUCUAAGGGGGAAGUUGAGGUAAUUAAUUCAUUGGUGAGCUAGAAGAUGAUUAGAGGCUAAAGUGAGCUUGGUUGUGGAGCACCUUCAAUUUGUCACACUGAGUCAGUUAAUUAAAUACAUGUGAUGCAUGACACUUGUUAGAGGCGCUGCCAUGGUACUAGGUUAGAAACAUAUAUAUGUAUGUAUAUAAUUGCCUAGAAGGAUGUUCCUAGGCUAGAGAGAGAAAAUAUGUGUGAUCAUAUGUUGUGUUGUGUGCCUUAAUGCAAGCCACAUUGGCAGCCUAUGGUAGGUAAGCUUAGACUAGGACGUCUAGAGGAUAUGAUAAACCCCAAGGUAAAUGAUAUGUUAAGAGGAUUUGAUCAAGUGAUGCCUUGGAGAUGUAAAGGCACUUAAAACCCUAAACAAGCUUAUAGACAAUUGAAGCUCGAUAAAUGUGAUUCAUGAUUUGAGGUGGACAUAUGGAAUAUUAAAGGCAGGAUGGCCUUAUUUGUGGAUAUGUAUUUCGUCUAGGGAAUGACUUUUAAACGUUGAUUUAAUUUGAGUUGAGUGGAGCCUCAUUCCUUUGUGACUUUGUAUUGUCCUCGGAAGGAUGGCGGUAAGCAAAGAUAGUGGUAUAUGUCCCACUUGUGAUUCUCGCCUGUAAAUCCUUGAUGCCACCCGUCCGAGAAUUCUCUAGGUGAUGUCGACCAUUGGGAGAUUACUCUAGUCGAUGAAUUUGAUUCUCCACUUGUUGCUUCGGCACUCGCGUGAUUUGUUUUCCAUUAACAGCUAUGACUUGAGCAUAAUUUGAUUCUCCACCGGUCGGCCACCAAGCGUGAUUUCACUCUGUCUAGGGGAAGACCACUCAAUGAUUGGACUCGAUUGUGUAAGGUAUGAGAUAGCCUUGGAAAGGCUUAGACAUGUUUGAUCUGAAAAUGAUUUGAUACUCUAAUGAUUAGAAUGUGCUGUUGAGAAUGAUUUGACUGACUUUGGAUGGCUUCUAGGGUAAGCCCGAUGAUCUGUGUGAUAAAAUUGGAGACAUUAAGGAUGAUGAUAUGCUAUCAUAUAGAAGACUUUAGGGAUAAUGAAAUGCUCUUAUCUAGAGACGUUUGUUAGAACAUUUAGAUGCACUAAUAAUGCAUAUAUUUUAUAUAUUUUUUUUUAUAAUUGAGGGAGGGGGGAUUCGAACCCUGCUCUUUAGGCAGAGGAUCAUGCACCAACCAAUAAGCCAAAUGCUCGGAUGCAAUGCAUAUAUUUUAUAUAUGUGUUUAAUAUAUAUAUAUAUAUAUAUAUAUAUAUAUAUAUNAUAUAUUUUAUAUAUGUGUUAUAUAUAUAUAUAUAUAUAUAUAUAUAUAUAUGAUUUUGAUUAUCUACACCACUCACUGAGAAUUAGAUGACUCACCCAUUGUUGUACCAUUUGCAGAUAAAUAGGCCACUAGAUAGUGCAUGGCAUAGGUCGUUCAUUGACAGACCGAUUUUGGCAUCUGGUAGGUUCCCAUUUGGUCACUCCACUGAGUCCAUCAUGAGCUUCCGUAUAUGGUUGGCUUUGAUGUAUGUAGGCACGAUGUGCCAUUUGAACUUGUGUAAAGGUUGUUAUGUAUGAACCCAAUUUGUAUGGCCAAUGUAUGGCCUUAUAAAUAUUGUGUAUGGAUUAAGUGCUGAGGAAAAUUUUAUGUAUUUGAGUUUUAGAUAUUCCACGAAUAUGAAUAUUUGGAAAAUCCUUGGCUAUUUGUAUGAUUUGAAUUCUGAGGCUUGCUCGGGUUUUGUAGACUUCGCUGUCAAGCCUAGCUCGACAAUAUGUUUAUUAUGCCAUUCCUACAUAAGAAUGCAUGUUUGCUUACUUGGGUACCUUGGAAAUCAUUAAAGGACGGCAAUGUACCAAAUGGUACAAUUAAGUUGAAUUAAGCCUUCAACUAGUCCAAAUAGAGAUUUUAAGAUGAAAUUGAGAAUUUUAAAACCCCAGAAUGACUUAAAAUGAUGAUUCGGAGUUUGAGGACCGAUUUAGAGUCAAAUUGGAAUUUUCAUGACCUAAGGGCAAAAUGGUCAUUUUGCCACCCGAGGUUAAAAUUAGAAUGUUGGAAGAAGUUUUUGAUCAAGAUUGACUAUUUAGAACAUAAUUUGAGUUUGAGAAGUGAAAAAUUUUAAUUCUGGCAUUUUUUGAGUAUAAAGGGUAAAAUAGUCAUUUUGCCACCCCAUGGGCAUAAUUGUAAUUUUACACACCCAACACUUGUCCAACACAUGGAUUUUACCCAAUAUUAUCAUGGAUAAUUGAGGAAAUUUAAGUGGUGGAGAGAGAUUGCUUAAUGGGUAAGAAUGACACAUGGAACAAUGGAAUGGUGACAUGUGUCAAAUUUUCAUCCAUUUAUUAUUUUCCUUAUAAAUUAGCACAAAAUCAGCCCAUUUCUCUUCAUAUGGCCGGCCAAAGGAAGAAAAGAAAGAACAAGAACCCUAGAGUGAAAAUUCAAGAGAAAUUUGGUGGAUUUCAAGUAAUCAAGCAAUCAAAGGUAAAAUUUCUUGAUUUUGACUUGUGAUUUACCUUUCCCAUACAUUCUUUUGCAUUUUCAUGGUUGAAUCACAUGAUUUCAUGAUGGGUAUCUUGCUGGCUGAACACUUAGAGAGAGGUUUUGAUGCUUGAUUUGGUUAGAUUUCAAUGUAUUUUAGUGUUUUUAGUUAGUUAGUGAUGUGUAGCAUGAAAAGCCAACAAGAAAAUUCAUUUUCUCCCAUCACCCAUCAUUGGCCGAAUUCUCCAUGUGAAAUAUUGAUGAUGAUUUUGAUUUUAUUUCUAGUGAUUUGGUUAGGAAUUAGUGAUUUAUGGUGAAAGAAUCAAGCUUGAAAAAUUAUAGUGUUGAUGCACCCACCAUGGCCGAAUUUUCCAAGAGAAAAUGUGAGGAUGAUUUUGCCAUAUUUCAAUUUAUUUAGUUUGUGUUUAAUGAUUUGGAGUAUUGGGAGAAAAAUGGAAUUAUUUGGAGUUGAAUUGGACAUAAUGGCAAAUUAAUCGGGUGAUAGAUCGAAUUAGGUCAAUACCGUUUUAUUUAGGUACACAAUUGAAUUUGUGUAGAACACCGUGUUUAGACAAUAAUCCGAACAAUUUACAUUCCAUUUCAUGCAUUAGUAUAGAGCCUGAAUUGGUUUUAUAAUAAUUUAGCAUAAAUGUAGUAAAUGGCUUAUUGUGCAUUAUGUCUAGGUGGUGAGCAUUCUGGCAAAAGUAAAGAGAUAGUACCCGAGGAUCAAGAAUCGGAGUACUCGGAAUUCGACUCUCGAAAUAGUGAGUAACCUUACUAUCGUCUUAAUUAUCUAAAGUGGUUUUUAUCUGAUUUUGUGAUUUUAUGGAAAAUAAGUUUAAAUGGUAAAUCUUUAUGUUUUAAAAGCAAAAUGUGAUUAAAGGAAAUGAUUUUAAAAAUUGUCUUGAAAUUGAAAGAUGGUUUUGGUAAUGGAGUAAUUGGAGACUAAUUGUUGUGUUAUAAAUCAUGGUUUGAAUUGAAUGGCUUAUGAUAAUAUUGGCAUGAAUAGUUAAAUUGGUAUUUGUGCUGAAAAUGUAUAAACUGUUGUUCGACUUGAUAGGAUGGAUAAUGAUAAAAUUGCCAUGUCAUGCUGUUGAAUUUUAUUGAAUUAGUGGGUUAUUGAUUAGUAGUUGCAGUGGAUGGGUUCCGUGGACCAAUUUAUUAGAGGGAGCACGGUAACCUUAUUAUAUUCAUACCUCAGUAUGAGAAACGCGGAUGGAUAACUCCUGAGGUUAACACUUUAGAGUUCACUUCACGCCAAACCACCACGUGACGGUGAACUCAGCCAACGCCAAGGAUCGGCUAUAUUUUUCAAAUAAAAAUAUGAUUUAUGCGUACAUAACUUUUUAAUAGCCUUGGCGGACUCGGUUGGGAUAUCUCUUGGCCAAGGUAUCCCUGAUAACUGAGUAUGAGAAUGAUUUUGGCACGAGCCAAAGUUUUAAGAAAUUCAUAAGCCAUGUUGAUUACUCAAUUUAUAUCAAUUGAUUUUAUUUGGUUGAAAUGAGUUGAAAGGUGAUGAAUUACAAUAUGCUAAUCUAUUUUAUCUGUCUCCAUUUACUCAGCUUUAUAUAUUUUAGAUGGUAUUUGUUUGCUCACUGGGAUUAUAUAAUCUCACGACUCUCCUUUCCACCCAUUUCAGGCUCAGGAUAGUCGGUAGAUAGCUCACUUUGUUGAGGGCUACAAUUGGACUUGCAUCCUCAAAAAUUGUAGGUUUACCGCUUUUGAUACUUUUGGUCGUUCGUGGGCCCACGUGUCACUGUAAAUUAAAUUUUAUACUUUGGUUAUCUGUAUUACAGUAUGUAUGAAUUUAUUUAGCUUUUACGCUACAAAAAUUAUUUACCGGUAACUCUAUAAAUAUUGUUUUAUAAGAAAAUAAAAUAUUUUAUUGAAUAUUUUUAUUAUAUUCAAAUAGUCA